rnacentral:tmRNA from 2 species
GGGGCUGAACUGGUAUCGACUUUGAUCGAUCGUGGUAAGAGAAGCGAGCCGAGGGUCCGAGAGUCCUCGUUAAUCAAGCUCGGAAACUAACAAUUGCCGACUCUAACGAGUUUGCCGUCGCUGCGUAACUAAACGCAGCGUCCGUCGGCCCGGGCUUUGUCUGCGGCCCGAAGCCGACGUCAUGCAGCAGACUUGCCGCCCGAAGUGCGCUCGGGGCAACGGGCGGGACACUCACCUGAGCUGGGCGCCGGCCGCUGCCGUUCGCGGGCCGGCCUGUGCCGAGACAUAGACCGCGAACUACGCUCGUAGAAGACUUGUUGCGAGGUCGAAGGACCCGGGUUCAAUUCCCGGCAGCUCCACUG